CCUUGUCGGCCCUUUUGUGUGUCGGGAACGGACCUCCGCGGCGUUUGCCUGGACAGGACCUCAACGGCGACCUGCAGGUCCCCAUUGAGAUGCCUGGAUACUUAUCUAAAUAUAAGAUGAUUGUAACUAAGGUCAUGUUCUAGGUAUAAAAAAUGAUCUGCUGGAUCAUGCUCUUGCAAUAACUGAUUUCGCUAUCAAGUCUACAAUCCAAUGUUGAUCUAGAAGAUAGAUGAAGACUGAAUUAGUUCACAAUUGAUCUUGGUUCUAUACGAUCUUCUAUAUUUGUGUCACGUAGGUCUGUCUCCCAAGAGCAACGAGAAGAAAUCUGUUAACACAUUACUGCAUUAUAUGUAACAUAUGUCCAUUUUCACGGAAUGAAGGGUGAGUGCUAACUACUUGUGCUGAACCAUUAUGGUGCCCCGAACUUUCUGACCAUUUGAGUUAUACUCCAGAGUCUUGAUGUUGGCUGAAUUGAAAAUUUGGAGCUGUCGAGACUCGAGCUUCGUUUUUCGUGGAUUAGUGGUUAUUGAAUUUUUAUGCCUCUAGCCCAUGCUUGCAGGAACACGAUUAUUGAGUGGAACAAU